ACGGAAGGCAGCAGUGGGGAAUAUUGGACAAUGGGGGAAACCCUGAUCCGGCGACGCCGCGUGAGUGGAGAAGGAUUUCGGUAUGUAAAGCCCUUUAAGUUGGGAAGAAAAUGACGGUACCAACAGAAUAAGCCCCGGCUAACUACGUGCCAGCAGCCGCGGUAAUACGUAGGGGGCAAGCGUUAUCCGGAUUUACUGGGUGUAAAGGGAGCGUAGACGGCAAUGCAAGUCUGAAGUGAAAGCCCGCGGCUUAACUGCGGGACUGCUUUGGAAACUGUAUGGCUAGAGUGUCGGAGAGGUGAGUGGAAUUCCCAGUGUAGCGGUGAAAUGCGUAGAUAUUGGGAGGAACUCCGGUGGCGAAGGCGGCUCACUGGACGAUUACUGACGUUGAGGCUCGAAAGCGUGGGGAGCAAACAGGAUUAGAUACCCUGGUA
rnacentral:rRNA from 1 species